GGCUCUUGUGUGGCUCAUUUUCUUGUUGAGUGUAUACCCUCCUUUCCUGCUGGAUUUCAGGGGCAGACCUCCUUUCCUGCCUCUUCCUACCUUUCAUAGUGCUGAUUGGCAGCAUCUCAUGAAACGCAGGCAUUUGUUGCUUGAUUUCAGGCAUGGUGGCUGGUCAGUAAAAGAGAAAUUAAAAUUAUACCUACCUACAUAUGUAAAUAAGUAUAUUUGCAUGUUUCUCAUACAAUAAAAUAAAAUGUUCCUGAAAAUGGAAUGGUAUAGUCGGGUAAUAAUCCUCAAACUGCAAGUGGAGGCUGAGGAUAUAACCUUUAGUUAUAAUGAUUUUGUAUGUUUUUGUUUUGUAGCUAACAUUGUUCAGAAUCUGCUGAGUACCAGGGACUGUGCUGAGGGUUUACACGUAGGAUCUCACUUAAUCUUCACAACUACCUUGUGAAGAAGAAGCUAUCAUACCUUCAAUUUGCAGAUGGGAAAAAUGAGGCACAGAGAGGUUAUAUAACACAUCCUAGGACACUCAGCUGGUAUGUAGCAGAAAUGGGAUUUCUACCUGGCUGUCUGCUGUCUGACCAUGGGGCCUUUAUUCUUCAUCACCACAAAUACUACCUUCUGCCUGGAGAGGCUUUCUUUUUCCCCAAGGCUGAUUUGGUGACUGCUUUUAGAAUUUCAGUGAGUAACAUGAAAUCUUGAAGGAAAGUGAUAAAUGGCAGGAUGCUUCAGAAGAAGAAAUGUGAUUGUUUGGUUUGUCAUAGUGAGCAGAUGAUGCUCAGGGAUUGGACUGGUGUUUAUCAGUAGAAACGUGAAGUAAUGGCAGCAGACUAAAGGGGUACAGUAGAGAGAGGAAGAGAGAGUCUUGGAGGCUGCAAUAUGGCAGGUCUGAGGAAAAUAAGGGGCAGGAGAUCAUGUGUUCUGGAAUAGGCUCUCACAGAGAAAGGAAAGGAAGAAGAUAGAGAAAAGAUAGCCUGUUUUAAGUGAGAAGAUGCUAAAGAGUGAGCAUAAUGAGAAAACAGGUGAUGUGAAAUGACCCUCUCUGCUUAACUAAAAAGAGUGUAGUUCAUACCACACGUCUCCUACACUAAUAAAACGGCUGUUCCCUGAUCUGUGUGUAAAUGGCAAUGGCUAAGGAGCCAGAGAGAGGCGGGGAAAUAUUAGAAGCUGUGAGCACUCCCUUUGGUGGGAGUGAACCUUUCAGGUUAAUCUUUAGGCCAUUUACACUUAUGAGGGAAACUCGGACGAACCAGCAGUUGUCAAAUGAGUGCUGGGUUGGACCGCCCAGUUUUAUCUUAUACCACAAGCCCACAAAAGUCCUCCUAUAUCGGACUGGUCCUGGAAACAGAUCUUAGGGGGAAGAAAAGGUGAGGAUAUGCCUCUUCUUCUCUGUGCCCUUUUUCAUAUUAAUUUUUUUACAUUGCGUGGCUUAAUUUUUUUCAACCUAUGUUUUAAAGUACCUGUUCAUCCUUUUUCCUACUGCUUCACAAGGUGAAAACUCAUUUAUAUGAUAAACUCCCAAUUCUAUAAUCUUUCAUUUCCGUUUAGAGCAAGAGUUCUCAGAUGCCAUAGCUUUGAACCAGUGGUGCUGUUAUUCUGUUUGGUUGGUCUACCAUUGUAUUGGUUUUAUUCUCAGGACGCCCAUUUCUAACCACUGACUAAGAGAGAACAACAUCUUCAUGCCAACACUUUAAAAAAUAUUUAAUUCAGAGACCCCUCUACCUAGCUACUUGUGUGAUCUUCAAACUGUCAAACUAAGUUAUUAGAGGAGACGUCUAUUUUUUUUUUUUUUUUUUUGGCACCUGGGCUAACAACUGUUGCCAAUCUUCCUUUUUUUUUUUCUUUUUAAGGAUUGGCACCUGGGCUAACAACUGUUGCCAAUCUUUUUUUUCUUUUUUUCUGCUUUAUCUCCCCAG
ensembl:lncRNA